UACGGAGGGUGCGAGCGUUAUCCGGAAUUACUGGGUUUAAAGGGUGCGUAGGCGGCUAUGUAAGUCAGGAGUGAAAGUUUGCGGCUCAACCGUAAAAUUGCUUUUGAUACUGCAUGGCUAGAAUUAGGAUGAGGUCAGCGGAAUGUGGCAUGUAGCGGUGAAAUGCAUAGAUAUGCCAUAGAACACCCAAUUGCGAAGGCAGCUGGCUAGACCUGUAUUGACGCUGAGGCACGAAAGCGUGGGGAGCGAACAGG
rnacentral:rRNA from 1 species